rnacentral:rRNA from 1 species
UCCUACGGGGGGCAGCAGUGGGGGAUAUUGGACAAUGGGGGGAACCCUGAUCCAGCGACGCCGCGUGAGUGAAGAAGUAUUUCGGUAUGUAAAGCUCUGUCAGCAGGGAAGAAAGCAAUGACGGUACCUGACCAAGAAGCCCCGGCUAACUACGUGCCAGCAGCCGCGGUAAUACGUAGGGGGCAAGCGUUAUCCGGAAUUACUGGGUGUAAAGGGAGCGCAGACGGCAGCGCAAGUCUGGAGUGAAAGCCCGGGGCCCAACCCCGGAACUGCUCUGGAAACUGUGCGGCUAGAGUACUGGAGGG